AGGCUAGCCGAUGAAUCUUCUUACCUGAAUGUGUUUCUGCAGAAAUUUAAAAAGCACUGGCAAUAUAAAUGCCAUGUUACAAGCCUUCGUUAAGGUCCCUGAAAAUGGCUACAAGA